rnacentral:rRNA from 1 species
AUUGAACGCUGGCGGCAGGCCUAACACAUGCAAGUCGACCGUGUCGCGGACGGGAGUGAAGUCUGUGGGAAACUGCCUGAUGGAGGGGGAUAACCACGGGAAACUGUCGCUAAUACCCUAUCCUCUCAUAUGUGCCCAUAUGGGAUUCGCUAGUUGGUGGGGAAACGGCUCACCAAGGCGACUCUCCCUAGGUGGUCUGAGAGGAUGACCAGCCACACUGGAACUGAGACACGGUCCAGACUCCUACGGGAGGCAGCAGUGGGGAAUAUUGCACAAUGGGCGCAAGCCUGAUGCAGCCAUGCCGCGUGUAUGAAGAAGGCCGUCGGGUUGUAAAGUACUUUCAGCGGGGAGGCGUUACCCGCAGAAGAAGCACCGGCUAACUCCGUGCCAGCAGCCGCGGUAAUAC